rnacentral:rRNA from 1 species
CGCGAUACAGGGUGACAGCCCCGUACACAAAAAUACACAUAUUGUGAGCUCGAUGAGUAGGGCGGGACACGUGGUAUCCUGUCUGAAUAUGGGGGGACCAUCCUCCAAGGCUAAAUACUCCUGACUGACCGAUAGUGAACCAGUACCGUGAGGGAAAGGCGAAAAGAACCCCGGCGAGGGGAGUGAAAAAGAACCUGAAACCGUGUACGUACAAGCAGUGGGAGCACGCUUAGGCGUGUGACUGCGUACCUUUUGUAUAAUGGGUCAGCGACUUAUAUUCUGUAGCAAGGUUAACCGAAUAGGGGAGCCGAAGGGAAACCGAGUCUUAACUGGGCGUUAAGUUGCAGGGUAUAGACCCGAAACCCGGUGAUCUAGCCAUGGGCAGGUUGAAGGUUGGGUAACACUAACUGGAGGACCGAACCGACUAAUGUUGAAAAAUUAGCGGAUGACUUGUGGCUGGGGGUGAAAGGCCAAUCAAACCGGGAGAUAGCUGGUUCUCCCCGAAAGCUAUUUAGGUAGCGCCUCGUGAAUUCAUCUCCGGGGGUAGAGCACUGUUUCGGCA